GGACUCUACAGGCGCAUGCCACCAUGCCUGACUAAUUUUUGUAUUUUUAGUAGAAAUGGGGUUUCACUAUGUUGGCCAGGCUGGUCUCAAACUCCUGACCUCAGGUAGAUCCACCCAUCUUGGCCUCCCAAAGCGCUGGGAUUACAGGCGUGCGCCACUGCAUCCGGCCAUUUCCCCCCGCCCCUCCGUAGAGGCAGGUUUUCACCAUGUUGCUCAACCUGGUCUUGGAUGGGGCUAAGUGGGUUCCCUUUAUUGACUAAUGUGUCCUAAUGUCCUCAUUCACACUCUGCUCUCUCCAUCAAAAACUCAUACCUUCUAGUACUGAGUUUAUACUACCCUAAUGCCUCGAACUCCUCCUAUUUCGCUUGUGCUUGUUCCCUCUAAGCAGCUUAUCCUGAAUGUAGAAGAAAUCUGCUUAGGCUUAAAAGAUCUCUCAGUGGCCCCACCAUCUCUGUUUCCCCCUGCGUAACCUCCUGGGCUCCUUAGAGUCUGGUCCAGCUUACAAAGAUAUGCUCCUUUAGUGUGUCCUUACGACUGUGCCACAGAUCAGCUGGGGGAAAAGAAGGUGCCUUAGCCUAGUGCGUCAGCUCCCAGAUCCCUUAUGGGGGCUUGGAAACCCAGCUCAGGCAUCUAAUCUUCUGCUACGUAGACCCUACCUGCUCCAGCUACCCUACUUCUGUGGUACCAGUGGUUUGUUUUCCUAAGCCACGUGUCUCAAAUGUUCUUGUCUUGGUUUUAUUUACAGCUGUGAUCAAUUUCCCUGACAAAUUGAGGUGCUUUUAUUUUCUCAGCACAGACCAGUGAUCUGCUUAGGAGCUCAUCAAGUUGAUGAACCUUCCAUCUGGCAGGAGCUUUGCAGGCAGCUAUUGAAUAGAGAGCCAGGAAGGGACUGCUGUACAUAAAGACACCAUUCCUCCUUCCUCAGAGCCCCCUACUUCCAAAGUUUUUACUGAAAGCAAGAAGGAACCACUAUACUUGGCAAAAACCAGUGGGACUAUCUCUGGUACUGUUGGCACUGACUGUAUGGUGGGACUUGUGAGCCUGUUGGUGAGGGAAGGUCCUGUUCUCUUCUGAUUUCUUGGCUUAGAGUUCUCUGCAGAUUGGGUACAGUCUGCAAGUCCAGGGUCCUUGAAGCCAAAAGGAUGUGUUAGGUUUGGUUAGAUUUGGAAAUGGGUGGGUUCAUGGUGGCCCUUGCACUAUUCCUCGCUCAAGAGUAGAAAAACUCUGGAAUAGCCUUGGCAUUCUGGAUCCCCUUGGGGUGGCUGUUUAGGCCCCAUAUUAACUCAGCUCUAGAUCUCCUGAUCCCCUAGCCAGACUGUGUAGAGGAGAGGAAAAAUGACCUGCCACCCUUCCUUCCCAUGGGGUGAGGUAGAACCCACCAACCCUUCAGGAAAGUAGGAAGGACCCCUGCCUUCUCUGGCUCAUCUUCCCAUCUCACUCACCCAGCAGUAGCAGCUUGACAGUCUUGGCUUCCUUAUCAGCAUCCUCCUGCAGCUUCUUUUCUAGCUCCUUGGACCUCUUGGCCAGUUCUUUGUCCUCAGCACUGGCUCCACUUCCCAUAUUUGCCGUCUUGUCAGCUUUUUCAGGCCCCUAAUCCUCUCUCGUAAGGUUUCCUGUAUGUGAGAUGGAAGAGAAGGAAAAAAGUUGGGAUUGAGUAUCCCAACUUGGCUCCCCUAAAAGCUGGUCUGUACGAUGGCAGGUGAGAGAGCAGGCUGUAGGGUCUUGUACUCUGCCUACAUUGACUGAGACUCCCUA
rnacentral:lncRNA from 10 species